UUGUUUAGUCUGAAUUCGUUGCUGUUGAUAUGUUUACCAAUCCAGCCUUUCCUUUAACUCAACACAUGAUUUUAUCAGUGUACUGAACACCACCUUCAUUUAUUUACUUAUAGUUUUCUAAAGGGAAAAUGUCUGUGUUUCUUUAUUAACCUUUCAUUAUUUUAUUCCAGAGAGUAUUGAGGGUCCCUUCUCUAAGUACAUACCACUAGAGGAAAUCCUUAUGGAUAUAUACUAGUUCUUCAAAGACUCGCAAAGCAAAUUCAUCUAGUAGUGAUGUGCAGGGAGGAAAGAGAGGUUAUCUUGUAUUGUGACAUGGUAUCACCUCUCACCAUGGUGAGCUUCAUAAAACUGGGAGACUCCAUGCUUUGAUUCAGAGGCCUUUGGGAAAACAUUCGCUUCACCAACUGGAUUUUAGUGCCUUCCAUCUUAAAACAGCACCCAUAACAAAAUGUGCCAUAAUUUCAUUAUCUCGCCUUUCAUGCAGAAAUAUUUGGAGAACUGAGAUUGGAGAAUAGAGGCUUUCUUCACAUUCAGAAAUUAAAGAGCAGUGAAGAUCAUUUUUCAAAGAAACAACCUCAAUGCUGUGCUUGACCUUGGUUCUCCAGCUGCUGUCAUACAACUCUACUUCAUGCGUAAAAGUAUUGUCUUCCUUUUCCUUGGUAGACAUUUUACUAUAAUGUUUCUUUAAGUUGGCGAAUCCUCAUCUUAUGAUUGCAUGCUUUAAAAGAUAAGAAGUUAAAGCAUUUUCUCUCAGCUAUCUGA
rnacentral:lncRNA from 1 species